UCCAAUUCUCAUUUGAAGAGACAAAACAAUUUUGUUCUCUACCUAAUUUGGGCCAAUAUGCAAUAACCACAACUUAUUUGGGCCAAAAAGCAAUUAACCUCAACUUUUGGGCUAUAUUGCAAAACUUUUGGGGUCACUUUGUAAAAACACAAAAGUCCACUACUUCAUGUAAUUACAACUAGAAGGAGCAAAACAAUUUGUCCUUUAGCGUUUUUGGACCUAAACGUAAAAACGUAAACUUUUGGGCCAAAGUGCAAAUACACAAAAGUAUCAAAACUUUAUGUAAUUGCAUAAAAGCCCCAAAAGUACUCCCACUUGAGGGAGGGCCGGUUUUGGAGAAGGAAAAGGAGUGAUGUGUGUGUUGAUUUGUGAGUUUUGACAUAAAGCAUGCAAGUGGUGCAAGUGGUGUGUGUGAAAGGGA
rnacentral:lncRNA from 1 species